rnacentral:tRNA from 2 species
AGGAGUGUAGUAUAAUGGUAGUAUUAGGAUCUCCAAAGUCCCAGGCGGUGGUUCGAUUCCAUCCACUCCUG